rnacentral:RNase_P_RNA from 1 species
UCAGGAGGCCGGGUGGCCGCUGCCGCGUUGCGGCAGAGGAAAGUCCGGGCUCCACCGGGCAGGGUGCCGGGUAACACCCGGGCGUCGCGAGACGACGGAAAGUGCCACAGAAACAUACCGCCCCUCGGGGUAAGGGUGCAAUGGUGCGGUAAGAGCGCACCGUCGUGCUGGUGACAGCACGGUUCGGGCAAACCCCACCUGGAGCAAGGCCGAAUAGGAGGGCCCCCGCCACGGCGGGGAAGGGCGCCCGGCCCUCGACCCUCGGGUUGGCCGCGUGACCCGGCCGGUAACGGACGGGCUAGAUGGAUGGCCACCGGCCCACCCUGGUGGGCUACAGAACCCGGCUUACAGGCCUGCUGAACCC